rnacentral:tRNA from 2 species
GCCCGCGUAGCUCAGCGGAUAGAGCGCCACCGUCCUAAGGUGGGCGUCGGGGGUUCGAGUCCCUCCGCGGGCACCA